GCCCUCGGAACACGGGGUUAAGGCAGGAAUUCCACUUCUAGAAAAGCCUCCUGCAGCUGCGCUCCCACAAGUGCGCAAAGAUUGCCAAUUUUAAUAUUAAAGCGGAUAAUUAUUAAGGGCUCACUAGGUAGCAGGUCGUGGACUGCGCUAAAUCAAUUAGUUCAUGCAGUCCCCAGAGCAACCUGGAUCUAUUAUUAUUCCCGGAUUUAGUGAUGAGGAAAUUGGUUUGCUUAAAGUUUCAAUGAGUCAGUUGUGAGAAUAAUCGCAACUAUAUUCUGUCAAGGACCCUGUGAAGUAGAUCUUACCACCUUUAUUUGCCCAAGUAUACACACAGUGGUGGGUUGGAGAACCCGGACUUGAAUAAGCCUGUUGCAGUCCUGAGCCUUUGCGCUGAACCGCUGGUGACUUACUUCCAGUCAAACCCGUGCAAACACUGCAACUUUAGUUGUACGAAAAACAGUUGGGAACAACCUACCUGUCCUUCAUUAGGAGAGUGGCUGAUAAAAUACAGUGGAGACAUACAGCGGCAGAGAGAAAGAUGGAAUGAAGCAACACCUCAUCAAGAGAAGCAACCUGGGCAAACCAGGCCUGGUUUAACUGCACUUUCUCACGUUUGAUCAUUUUCUCAAGAGAUACGUGCGUGGUCCUCUGCAAUUCAGAAUGAAAUCUGAACUUCUGGAAAAACUCUCCUAGAGGGGGUUUGAGGACAAGAGACAAGGGAAAUUUGGACACAGACAUACAAAGAGGAGAGAAUGCUAUAUGAAGACACAGAGACAGACAGACCCAGAGAACAGAUGGCCAUGUGACCACAGAGGCUGUGAUUGGCAUUGCAUAGCUACAAGCCAGGAAACUCUGAGGAUUUCCAGAAACCUCCAGAAGUUAGUAGAGAGGUAUGGAAUAGAUUCUCCCCAUGCCUGAGCUGCCAAGAAGGAACUAAGCCUGCUGAUACCUUGAUUUUGGACAUCUGGCCUCCUGAACUGUGAGAGAAUAAAUUUCUGUUGUGUUAAGCCA